rnacentral:misc_RNA from 1 species
ACGAGUUUUAAUUGUUAGGUUAGAGUUGAGCUGGUUAAUCUAAUUAAUAUGUGCUUACUCUAAUCGAAACAAGUCCACUCAUUACUUAACACUUGUGAACUUAUUUCGAUUAGAGUAAGCACAUAUUAAUUAGAUUAACCAGCUCAACUCUAACCUAACAAUUAAAACUCGUUAAUGAUCCUUCCGCAGGUUCAUUAACGAGUUUUAAUUGUUAGGUUAGAGUUGAGCUGGUUAAUCUAAUUAAUAUGUGCUUACUCUAAUCGAAAUAAGUUCACAAGUGUUAAGUAAUGAGUGGACUUGUUUCGAUUAGAGUAAGCAUCAUAUGUCAUUAGAUAACAGUCAACUAACCUAACAAUAAACUCGUAAUGAUCCUCCGUAGGUUAACCUACGGAAGGAUCAUUAACGAGUUUUAAUUGUUAGGUUAGAGUUGAGCUGGUUAAUCUAAUUAAUAUGUGCUUACUCUAAUCGAAACAAGUCCACUCAUUACUUAACACUUGUGAACUUAUUCAUUACAAACAUUAUUAUUUGUUAUUGGAACGUUUGAUUAUUAAAAAGUUAAUA